AUGACAGCUCUGUGCCAGUUACUGAUAGCCAUCCUCACCAUAGCCAAAGUCUCCGGGCAAGAUGCAGUCACCCAAUAUCCUCCCGAGAUAACAGAUUUUGAAGGAGAGAACGUGACAAUGAACUGCAGUUAUUCCACAAUAAACGCUGCCUUCUGGUACAGGCAAAAUCCAAAUGGAGCUCCUCAGUACCUGUUCAGGAUAUAUUCCUCUGGAAAGGUAGACAGUCCUCCUGACCGUUUCACUGCCGAGCUGAUCAAGGAGAAAAAAGUAAUUAACCUGCAGAUACUUAGUGAUGUUGUGGGUGACAGCGCUGUGUAUUACUGUGCCCUGGACCCCACACUGUCACAGGAAGACAGGUUCCCCGUACAAAAACUCAGCAAACACUCAAGAACUUAG